rnacentral:lncRNA from 10 species
GCCCAGAAAGGGGCUGCCACAGUGCAGCGGUGGGCUGAACGGCUCCUCAAGUGCCGCCAAAGUGAGAACCCAGGCAGAGGAGGCGCCGAGAGCGAGCGAGGGCUGUGAGGACUGCCAGCACGUUGUCACCUCUCAAUAUCUUUGAUGAGUUCCAAAAUUUUUAAAUAUUAAAUAUUUAUAAUACUUUAAGAUUUAUUUGAAAAUGUUAAUGAAACAAAGUGUAGAAUCUGGAUGCAAUUCAAAAAUGCCUCAAAUAUUUUAUCUCACACCACAUAUGACAUUAGUAAAAUUAUAUUCAUGACCUAUACAUCUUAAAAAACAUUGAAACUUGCUUAGUUAUAAUUUAGCAAAAAAAAAUUUUUUUAAAAACCUGUGAGAUGGGCAUUUAGCAAAAAAAAAAAAUCUUGCUUAAUUAAUUUUGACCCCUUCUAAAAGUUCUUCUCACUCGUUUAUCACUUAUAAUUUAUAUCUAAAUAGUUAAAUAAUAUAUUUCAUUUAUAAAUUGGAGAGAUAAUUAUCUUAGCAAAUUUCUUUAAUUACACAAUUGUAUUUAUCUUCAGUCAUUGAGAGUUAUGUAAGACUUAACUUCAUAUAUUAGAGAAAAAAAGGAGUAUUUACAUCUUAAAUUGUACAAUAUAACUUCUUUUUUUACCCAUGUGAUGUAGUUAUGUUGAUUAAUACAUUUGGUUGUAAUUCCACAUAUUGUAAGUAACAUUACAUUUUUAGUAAGCCAUUUCUUGCUGUGUAAUCAACACUAAUUCACUCUGGCUUCUAACGCUUAUGCCCAUAUUUCCAUGUUUGAAGGGUGACUAUUGCUCUACUAGACUCAUAUAUGAUUGUCUUGACUUAAUGUUAAGCUGCAAAUUACAUGCAAAUCUCCUCCAUAUAUUUCCUAACUCUCUUUAAAUCAUUGGUUACUAUUCAGCUCCUCAAAUCACUGUCUUUUGAUGGCAGAUCCAAAACAGCAAAAAGACAGGCCAACUUCCUGAAUCAUAGGCUAGAGUGUGCUGGCGCCAUCUUGGCUCACUGCAAUCUCUGCCUCCGGAAUUCAAGUGAUUCUCCUGCCUCAGCCUCCUGAGUAGCUGGGAUUGCAUGUGUGCCACCGUGCUUGGCUGAUUUUGUAUUUUUAGUAGAGAUGGGCUUUCACCAUGUUUACCAGGCUGCUCUGUAACUCCUGACCUCAGGUGAUCCACCCGCCUCAGCCUCCCAAAGUGCUGGGAUUACAGGUAUGAGCCACUGCUUCCGGCCCCUAUCAAGAAGAAGAAGAAGAAGGAGGAGGAGUGGGAGGGGAAGGGGGAGGAAGGGAAGGAGGAAAGAAGAGGAAGAGAAAGAAG